AUGGAGGAGCAACACUUUGCACCGUCACCAAGCAACUAUGGUGGUGGAGGUGCAUGGUACAUGGACUCGGGUGCCACCUAUCAUAUGACGUCUCAUCCCGAUAACCUAACCUCCUCCACUUUCGUUCACACUCAAACCCGUAUCACCGUUGGUAACGGUUCCUCUUUACCCACACAUGUCGGCCGCACUAAUUUUCCUUCCAGAUCCACACCUAUUACUAUGUAUAAUGUUCUUGUUUCACCUGACUUUGUCACGAACCUUGUUUCUGUUCGUCAUCUUGCUCGUGAGAAUCCCAUUACCGUUGAAUUUGACGAUGUUGGUUUUUCUGUGAAGGACUCCCGUAGACGGAUGGUACUUCACCAAUGUGACAGUCCUCAUGAGCUCUAUCAUGUGCACGCCGGCGCCACCACCUCCACUCCAGUAGCUCUUGCAGCCGAUGUCGACAUAUGGCGUGCUCGCCUUGGCCAUCCCAACCCUACCGUUUUACGUCAAAUUCUUAGGAGUUUUUCAUUCUCAUGUAAUAAGAUCGAUGAUCAUACUUGUGAGGCUUGUCGUCUAGGAAAGCACGUUCGUCUUCCCUUUAGUGCGUCUACGACUAUUUCCACUUUUCCGUUUCAGUUACUUCAUAGUGAUGUUUGGACAUAUCCCGUUGCAAGCAACACCGGCUACCUUCAUUAUUUGGUGAUUUUAGAUGAUUAUUCCCAUUAUAUGUGGAUUUCCCCCUUCGUCGCAAAUCCGACGCCUUAG
rnacentral:rRNA from 1 species